UCAACGGAGAGUUUGAUCCUGGCUCAGGACGAACGCUGGCGGCGUGCUUAACACAUGCAAGUCGAACGCUGAAGCACCAGCUUGCUGGUGUGAAUGAGUGGCGAACGGGUGAGUAAUACGUGAGUAACCUGCCCUUGACUCUGGGAUAAGCCCGGGAAACUGGGUCUAAUACUGGAUGCUACAUGUCACCGCAUGGUGGUGUGUGGAAAGGGUUUACUGGUCUUGGAUGGGCUCACGGCCUAUCAGCUUGUUGGUGAGGUAAUGGCUCACCAAGGCGACGACGGGUAGCCGGCCUGAGAGGGUGACCGGCCACACUGGGACUGAGACACGGCCCAGACUCCUACGGGAGGCAGCAGUGGGGAA
rnacentral:rRNA from 1 species